rnacentral:rRNA from 1 species
CACGUAGGGACCAAGCGUUGUCCGGAUUUAUUGGGCGUAAAGCGCUCGUAGGCGGUUCUGUAAGUCGGGUGUGAAACCUCCAGGCUCAACCUGGUGACGCCACCCGAUACUGCCGUGACUUGAGUUCGGUAGGGGAGCGGGGAAUUCCCGGUGUAGCGGUGAAAUGCGUAGAGAUCGGGAGGAACAUCAGUGGCGAAGGCGGCCAUCUGGGACAACACUGACGCUGAAGCACGAAAGCGUGGGGAGCAAACAGG